rnacentral:rRNA from 1 species
AUUGAACGCUGGCGGCAUGCCUUACACAUGCAAGUCGAACGGCAGCAUGAUCUAGCUUGCUCGAUUGAUGGCGAGUGGCGAACGGGUGAGUAAUACAUCGGAACGUGCCCUGUAGUGGGGGAUAACUAGUCGAAAGAUUAGCUAAUACCGCAUACGACCUGAGGGUGAAAGUGGGGGACCGCAAGGCCUCAUGCUAUAGGAGCGGCCGAUGUCUGAUUAGCUAGUUGGUGAGGUAAAGGCUCACCAAGGCGACGAUCAGUAGCUGGUCUGAGAGGACGAUCAGCCACCCUGGGCUGGAGACCCGGCCCAGACCCCUACGGGAGGCCGGGGGGGGGAUUUUUGGAAAAUGGGCGAAAGCCUGAUCCAGCAAUGCCGCGUGUGUGAAGAAGGCCUUCGGGUUGUAAAGCAUUUUUGUCCGGAAAGAAAUGGCUCUGGUUAAUACCUGGGGUCGAUGACGGAACCGGAAGAAUAAGGACCGGCUAACUCCGU